GUACCAGCUAUCUGUUGUCUCUACAAUCUGUUCCUAUUGUUCAUUGUCUUCCUCCGUCUCAUCUACCACAACUUCCCUCCCCAUGUUUCGCCGACUCCGACGGAGAUUGACUUGCAGAGCAAUGGUCCAGCAGGCUGUACAGGGAGGAGCUCCAGCUGCUUACGCCCAAGAAAUGGAGAGGCUAACCGCUAAAGAAUCCCUUCUUCUUGCUGUCGCCAUUCUUGGAGGGUCGGUGGGAUUUUUUUCAGGGCUGAUGUCUUCCACGCAGUAGUUGAGUCCAUGCAACGAGGCGAUCCAGCUUGGGUUGGUUAUAUAUAUGCCUUCUUAAUCUUUUCUGGAGUGUCAAUUGGGGUGUUGACCGAAUCUCAAUAUUUCCAGAAUGUUAUGCGCGUUGGUUUCCGGCUGAGAUCAACUUUGGUGGCUGCUAUAUUUAGAAAAUCAUUACGAUUGACUCAUGAGAGUCGCAAGAGUUUCUCUACAGGAAAGAUAACAAAUAUGAU